GCCGGGAUGGCGGAAUUGGUAGACGCGCCGGAUUCAAAAUCCGGUGGGGUUAUACCCGUGAGAGUUCGAGUCUCUCUCCCGGCA
rnacentral:tRNA from 2 species